UACGUAGGGCGCAAGCGUUAUCCGGAAUUAUUGGGCGUAAAGAGCUCGUAGGCGGUUUGUCGCGUCUGCCGUGAAAGUCCGGGGCUCAACUCCGGAUCUGCGGUGGGUACGGGCAGACUAGAGGUAUGCAGGGGGAGAACGGAAUUCCUGGUGUAGCGGUGAAAUGCGCAGAUAUCAGGAGGAACACCUGUGGCGAAAGCGGCUCACUGGACCAUAACUGACGCUGAUGCACGAAAGCUAGGGGAGCAAACAGG
rnacentral:rRNA from 1 species